rnacentral:rRNA from 1 species
ACUCAAAGGAAUAGACGGGGGCCCGCACAAGCAGCGGAGCGUGUGGUUUAAUUCGACGCAACGCGAAGAACCUUACCUAGGCUUGACAUGUACGUGGUACGAGCGUGAAAGCGUGAGGACUCGCAAGAGAGCGUACACAGAUGCUGCAUGGCUGUCGUCAGCUCGUGCCGUGAGGUGUUGGGUUAAGUCCCGCAACGAGCGCAACCCUCGCUGCCAGUUACCAUGUCUGGCGGGACCGCCGGGUCCAACCCGGAGGAAGGGGGGGAUGACGUCAAGUCAGCACGGCUCUUACGUCUAGGGCUACACACACGCUACAAUGGCCGGUACAACGCGCAGCGAUGGGGCGACCCGGAGCGAAUCGCAUCAAAGCCGGUCUCAGUUGGGAUUGCAGGCUGCAACUCGCCUGCAUGAACGCGGAGUUGCUAGUAACCGCAGGUCAGCACACUGCGGUGAAUACGUUCCCGGGCCUUGCACACACCGCCCGU